GACGAACCGUGCGAACGUUAUUCGGAAUCACUGGGCUUAAAGCGCGUGUAGGCGGAUGGGAACGUCGGAAUCUGAAAGCCCCCGGCUCAACCGGGGAAGUGGAGCCGAAACGACCUGUCUGGAGGGACGUAGGGGGACCUGGAACUUCCGGUGGAGCGGUGAAAUGCGUUGAGAUCGGAAGGAACGCCCGUGGCGAAAGCGAGGUCCUGGACGUCUUCUGACGCUGAGACGCGAAAGCUAGGGGAGCAAACGGG
rnacentral:rRNA from 1 species